CGGGGUGGUUGCUAAGGUGUUGCUAGGUGGUUGCUAAGGUGUUGCUAUGGUAUCUGUGGUGGUUGCUAAGGUGUUGCUAUGGUAUCCGGGUGGUUGCUAGGUGGUUGCUAACGUGUUGCUAGGCGGUUGCUAAGGUGUUGCUAUGGUAUCCAGGGUGGUUGCUAAGGUGUUGCUAGGCGGUUGCUAAGGUAUUGCUAUGGUAU